rnacentral:rRNA from 1 species
GACGAACGCUGGCGGCGCGCUUAACACAUGCAAGUCGAGCGAAGCGGCGGACGGGUGAGUAACACGUGAGUAACCUGCAUUAGACCUUGGGAUAGCCUCGGGAAACCGGGAUUAAUACCAAAUGGUCUAAGAUGGACUCGCGUCCCAUUAGCUCGUUGGUGAGGUAACGGCCCACCAAGGAGACGAUGGGUAGCCGGUCGGAGAGGGUGGACGGACACAGUGGAACUUGGAAACGGUCCAAACUCUACGGUAGGCAGCAGUGGGGAAUAUGGCACAAUGGAGGGAACUCUGAUGCAGCGACGCUGCGUGAACGAAGAAGGCUGUCGAGUCGUAAAGUUCUUUUAUAUGGGAAGCGGUACCAUAAGAAAAAGCCCCGGCUAACUACGUGCCAGCAGCCGCGGUAAUUC